CUCCGAUUUUGAGCCACUCAGUUUGGAGAGGUGGAGGUCGGUUUCCGCAAUUUCACGCCGUCAACUCAUAAUUUCAAGGCGUCCCAAAAUGCACCACAGUGUCACUUGCCUCUGUGUCCUACUGAUUUUACUGCUCAUUCAAGAUCAGCCCGGUGGUGCGGUGCAGGAUAUUCAUACCAGCCGUGAGAAUAUUAUGAAGAUCAACUCAGCUGGAGAAAGU